CAGCUUACAUCGAGAAAGCCAGCCCUUCUUGGAUGCCCUCUAUUCCUACAGCUGUGGUCGUGGGAGAGGUUCUCUAUAGGGCGACCAGAUGUACGUGUUCAUGAGCCUAUAGACGCCAUGUUUGAUGUUGACGGCAUCGACAUGCCUACUUUCGGUCUGUGUUGGACUCGUCGCGAGAGACGCUUUGCUAGUGAUCAGACCAGGAAGGCAUACACAGCAUUGAACGAGCAGUUCGAUGCGUACACCGGGGUCAUCUGGCAGCCCUACACGGAAGCAGCCAUACAAGCGAGAUACCCUGCUGGUAUGUCUGUGCUAUGCACAAGGGACCGAGAUUACUGGAUGACAAAAUCUAAGAUCAUCUUCGAUGUCUUCGUCGAGGAGAUGGCACAACAGAGGGUUAUGAGGCAAUUUGGUCUUCUGCAGUUGGAGCUACCUCCCCCUAUAGAGAACCUGCUGCCAGCACACAUCCACAGGUAUUAACCAGUUUUUCAAUGUUGCAUUAUCUUUCAUAGUACUCCAUUCGAAGCUUUAGGUAAUUGUUGAACACACACCACAAUUUUAGGACGACAAGGAAGGGCAUGAACAGGACAACUGCUGACUGGCAAGUUAGACUAGAGCCGUAUGUUAUAGAAUGGGAGACAGCAAACAGAAAUCUAUGGCACGAGAAUCACAAUUUCGAUCUCGAUGAAUUCAAUCUCUAUUUGCGGCGCUACAUGACCGGAACACGGUUACGCAUUGUUGAGUACUCCCACCCAGAGGAGAUACCGGAUCCUACUCCGUCGGAUAUGUACCCGAGCUAUGAUACUUCCGGCUCUAGGCAGUACGCGGCUACCUUGACACGCGAACUCUACGACGACGUGACCACCUUUGGACGAUCACUAUCGUCUGGACCUCUUCUUCAGCAUCGUCCAGUGGUACAGCCCUUCUUGGAAAGAAUUCAGAAUAAGAUACGGACUGUGUACGAGGCUAUCACGUGCACCCGGAGAACCGAUGUUGUUCAGCACCAGCAGGAGCAGCCGCGUCACUCCAUGCACCGACAUCAACCACGUCCACGUCUAGCACCUCAGCCGACAGCCAGGCCACCCCGUCCUGACCAACCUGGCAGUUCUACGUGGCACCCGCAGCACUAUGGUCCCACGUCGAGUUUCGUGUUUUCUCCACAGCCACAGCAACAUGGUCCCUCGUCGAGCUUCGUGUUUUCUCCACAGCCACAGCAGCACGGUCCCUCGUCCAGUUUCGUGUUUGAGCCAGAGCAGACGUCACACCCAGCAGGUAUGUGUCUUCAUAUUUACUGUUUUCAAUAUUAAUUGACGCGACCUCAUUCUUCAUGAUGAUAC